CAGAUCCCUUCGUGCCGACGGCCAUCCUGGUGCCCAUUAAUGACGACAGCCACACGAUGACCAGUGAGACCAGCAGCCUGGUUCAGUCGCACUAUAAGCAGCGAGAGUCAGAGAGAGAGGCGUUGCCCUAUCAGACGGGACAGCUGCACCCCGCCAUCAGGGUGGCUGACCUCCUGCAGCACAUCACUCAGAUGAAGUGUGCCGAGGGGUACGGCUUUAAAGAGGAG